UCUGGUUGAUCCUGCCAGUUGUCAUAUGCUUGUUUCAAGGACUAAGCCAUGCAAGUGUGAGAGUACUCGGGGUUUACCUCGAGAGGUCUGUGUACGGCUCAUUAAACGGUUUAUUGUCUCCCCAACGAAGGAUGUGCAUUUGCCAGCCCUACGGGAUAACUUUGCAAAAUGCAAAGCUAAUACCUGUAAGAAAAACCUCACACCUCCAAAACGAUCGGGUGAAUUCUGUUCCCUGGUCGUGGUGUGCGGGUGCGCUUCGCCGAAACAAAGACCAACGCCGUUUUGGCAGCACCUACUGUUGAGGCAGGCGAAUGUCGCGAAAGCGCGUUCAGCGCGUUGUUGGACGAAUUUACCACCUAUCAGGUAGAGGGUAGUAUAGUUGACUACCUUGCCAUUGACGGGUAACGGAGAAUUGGGGUUCGAUUCCGGAGAGGGUGCUUGAGAAAUGGCAACCAUGACUACGGUCAGCAGCAGGCGCGCAAAUUGCCCAAUGCCAAUACUGGCGAGGCAGCGACGAAAAAUAAUAACUUUGAUGCAUUAUGUGUAUCAAAGAUUGCAAUGGACUGUAUUUAGAAACACUGAUGAGUAUCUAUUGGAGGGCAAGUCUGGUGCCAGCAGCCGCGGUAAUUCCAGCUCCAAGAGCGUAUAUAAAUGUUGUUGCGGUUAAAAAGCCCGUAGUUGGAUUUGAGAUUAUCGCCUUUGAAUUCUGCUCGGGGUCCACACCCAGAUGUCAGGACUCAAAAAACGGUGAUGAUCUGUUUGAUGCGGGAACGGACAUCUGCUGAAUACCUCUUCGGGGGUGUGUAGGCAAUUUCGGAGUCUCGACGCUCCAAAGAUGCGCCCGCAGUCGUCACUGUGAGUAAAUCAGAGUGUUCAAGGCAACUCCUUGUUGAGUUGAAUGUUAAAGCAUGGAAUGACAAGGGAUCGACCACUGAAUGGCCUCUUUUUGUUGGUUUUUAACCUUCAGUGAGGCAAAUCUGUGGAAGGGCUUUCCGCUGCAAAGACUUCGGUCUUUUGUAUGAACCCUUCUGCGCACGGGAUCAAUAGGAGCACAGGGGGCCGUGAGUACUGGAGGGUGAGUGGUGAAAUACAGAGACCCCUCCAAGACUGACAUCAGCGAAGCACUCGGCUAUUGUGCUUUCAUUAAUCAAGGACGAGAGAUAGGGGAUCGAAGAGGAUUAGACACCCUCGUAGUCCUUUCCUUAAAUUCUGCAGACUUGGGAUCGGUCAGUGUUCAACCUUUUGGCCUGAUCGGCACCUUCCUUCCCUACCGAGAAAUCAAAGUCUUUGUGUUCCGGGGGGAGUACAUUCGCAAGGCUGAAACUUAAAGGAAUUGACGGAGAACCACCACCAGUCGUGGAUUGUGUGGCUUAAUUCGACCCAACACGGGAAAUUUUACCAGCGCAUGACAGGGUCAGGAUUGCCAAGCUAAAGCCUUUGCUUGAUUCCCUGAAGGGUGGUGCAUGGCCGCUUCUGGUUGGUGAAUGUGAUUUGUCUGCUUAAUUGCGAUAACGAACGAGAUCUCUGCCAA
rnacentral:rRNA from 1 species